UACAGAGGUCUCAAGCGUUGUUCGGAUUCAUUGGGCGUAAAGGGUGCGUAGGUGGCGCUGUAAGUCGGGUGUGAAAUUUCGGAGCUUAACUCCGAAACUGCAUUCGAUACUGCGGUGCUUGAGGACUGGAGAGGAGACUGGAAUUCAUGGUGUAGCAGUGAAAUGCGUAGAGAUCAUGAGGAACACCAAUGGCGAAGGCAGCUCGCUGGGACGGUACUGACGCUGAGACGCGAAAGCGUGGGGAGCAAACAGG
rnacentral:rRNA from 1 species